rnacentral:rRNA from 1 species
UACCAGCUCUCCGAGUGGUGUGGAUGUUUAUUGGGCCUAAAGCAUCCGUAGCUAGCUGGGCAAGUCCCCUGUUAAAUCCACCGAUUUAAUCGUUGGUGUGCGGGGGAUACUGUUCGGCUAGGGGACGGGAGAGGCCGACGGUAUUUUCGGGGUAGGGGUGAAAUCCUAUAAUCCCGGGAAGACCACCAGUGGCGAAGGCUGUCGGCUAGAACGCGCCCGACGGUGAGGGAUGAAAGCUGGGGGAGCGAACCGGAUUAGAUACCCGGGUAGUCCCAGCUGUAAACGAUGCAGGCUAGGUGUUUGGGCGGCCACGUGCCGCUCUAGUGCCGCAGAGAAGUCGUUAAGCCUGCCGCCUGGGGAGUACGGCCGCAAGGCUGAAACUUAAAGGAAUUGGCGGGGGAGCACCACAAGGGGUGAAGCUUGCGGUUU